AGAGUUUGAUCCUGGCUCAGGAUGAACGCUGGCGGUCUGCUUAACACAUGCAAGUCGAACGCAGACUUCGGUACUGAGUGGCGGACGGGUGAGUAACGCGUGAGAAUCUGCCUAGAGGUCGGGGACAACCAUUGGAAACGAUGGCUAAUACCGGAUAUGCCUUACGGGGUGAAAGAUUAAUCGCCUUUAGAAGAGCUCGCGUCUGAUUAGCUAGUUGGUAGGGUAAAAGCCUACCAAGGCAUCGAUCAGUAGCUGGUCUGAGAGGAUGACCAGCCACACUGGGACUGAGACACGGCCCAGACUCCUACGGGAGGCAGCAGUGGGGAAUUUUCCGCAAUGGGCGAAAGCCUGACGGAGCAAGACCGCGUGAGGGAGGAAGGCUCUUGGGUUGUAAACCUCUUUUGUCAGGGAAGAACACAAUGACGGUACCUGACGAAUCAGCAUCGGCUAACUCCGUGCCAGCAGCCGCGGUAAUACGGAGGAUGCAAGCGUUAUCCGGAAUUAUUGGGCGUAAAGCGUCCGCAGGUGGCUUAUCAAGUCUGCGGUCAAAGACCGGGGCUUAACCCUGGAAAGGCCGUGGAAACUGAUAAAGCUAGAGUACCGUAGGGGUAGAGGGAGUUCCCGGUGUAGCGGUGAAAUGCGUAGAGAUCGGGAAGAACAUCGGUGGCGAAAGCGCUCUACUGGACGGUGACUGACACUCAGGGACGAAAGCUAGGGGAGCGAAUGGGAUUAGAUACCCUAGUAGUCC
rnacentral:rRNA from 1 species